GCCCGGGGGGCUCAGUCGGUUGAGUGUCUGACUUCAGCUCAGGUCAUGACCUCACAGUCCGUGGGUUCGAGCCCCGCGUCGGGCA
rfam:Felis catus isolate Cinnamon breed Abyssinian chromosome D1, whole genome shotgun sequence.